GAUGGAGGCUGCAGAGCCAAACAUGUAGACAAAUGAGAAAAUAUCUUUUGUCUGCAGAGGGCAGCAACCCUAAAUAAACAUGAGAUCCCUGACCAUCCCUUUCCAUACAAC
ensembl:scaRNA